GAUGAAGAACGUAGCGAAUUGCGAUAAGUAAUGUGAAUUGCAGAAUUCAGUGAAUCAUCGAAUCUUUGAACGCACAUUGCGCCCGUCAGUAUUCUGGCGGGCAUGCCUGUUCGAGCGUCAUUACGCCCCUCAAGUCCCCUGUGGACUUGGUGUUGGGGAUCGGCGAGGCUGGUUUUCCAGCACAGCCGUCCCUUAAAUUAAUUGGCGGUCUCGCCGUGGCCCUCCUCUGCGCAGUAGUAAAACACUCGCAACAGGAGCCCGGCGCGGUCCACUGCCGUAAAACCCCCCAACUUUUUAUAGUUGACCUCGAAUCAGGUAGGACUACCCGCUGAACUUAAGCAUAUCAAUAAGCGGAGGA
rnacentral:misc_RNA from 1 species